GAAGCCCACAUUCUGGAAUCCCAAUCCUCUGUUCUAGAACUUGGGUGUGGCCGUGGUCUAGAGCCACCCAUGGGAGAGGCGCCCCAGGAACCUCCAGACAUGUAAAUGCAGACCCUCAAGAGUAAUCUAUGCCUUUGCCUCUAUCCCAAGGGUUAACCUUAUUUACAAGCAAAGUUUAAAAGUGGACAGUUGGGAAAUGGUGCCGCGGUGAAGGCCGGAUGCUGUGUAGAGGCCGAGAGAUUGAGCUGCCCCAGGAACUUUGACCAGCACCUGGGGCCAAGCGCAGAAUGUGCACAACCCAGUGUGCAGCCAGCACAACGGCCCCCUUUCCAAGGUGUGCGGCGGCAUGCUGAGGCAUCCCUGGCAUUCACCAUGAGCCAGGAGUCAUAUAAAGGAUUUAUAAAGUAGGAAAGGAUGUAAGGAUGCAGUGUCUUACUUCAAAUGUCUUCAGGGUCCCUGGUCCUUCUGUUCUCAUCACUGGACGUGCUUUACUAGAUUACAAACAGACUCGGAGUUCUUUUCCAUGCAUUGAAGACACAA